AGACCCCUCUCUCGCCCACUCAAACCACCGCUUCUCUUUCUCCAUUUCCUCUGAUCUCUUUUUCCAUAUUCAAACCACCGCUUCUUUCUUUUUCACUUCUCAUUUCCAAGAUCGCAGGGAACACAUCCGGUCUGGAUUUGGCUGGUGAGCGACAUGUUUUUCGGAGAAACGGCGGAGGGAUCGAUAUGGAAGACUUCGGGACCAGCGAAUCUAGUGGCGGUGGGCUCUUUCAAUUCUCUAGAUUUGGUGAGAGCGAGCUCAGAUCUGGUGUUGCGUUGAAGAGAGACGAUAGAGGAUGUUAGAGAGCUCAGAUCCAGUUCUUUUCUCCCCUCCAUGUGAGAAAGAUUUGAAGUUUGCGAACGCUGAAGCAAAUGGAAGGAAUACAAGUCAAUCAAAUCCCACGUGAAGCAAAUGGAAGGAAUACAAGUCAAUCAAAUCCCACAAAAAGGCAGAGGGACCAAAAUAAAAAUGUUGGCUCUAACAUCGUGUUCAUCCUCAACCACCGCUUUGUACACUGUUUUCCUCAGCCACCACUUGUACACUGUUUUUUUUUUCUUGGUAGCAUUAUUGUAUUAACUCAUAUUAUUUAUGAAUAAUAAUCUAUUUGUUUUCCUAUUUUAAAGUAA